AGCUUGCUUCUCUUGAGAGCGGCGGACGGGUGAGUAAUGCCUAGGAAUCUGCCUGGUAGUGGGGGAUAACGUUCGGAAACGAACGCUAAUACCGCAUACGUCCUACGGGAGAAAGCAGGGGACCUUCGGGCCUUGCGCUAUCAGAUGAGCCUAGGUCGGAUUAGCUAGUUGGUGAGGUAAUGGCUCACCAAGGCGACGAUCCGUAACUGGUCUGAGAGGAUGAUCAGUCACACUGGAACUGAGACACGGUCCAGACUCCUACGGGAGGCAGCAGUGGGGAAUAUUGGACAAUGGGCGAAAGCCUGAUCCAGCCAUGCCGCGUGUGUGAAGAAGGUCUUCGGAUUGUAAAGCACUUUAAGUUGGGAGGAAGGGCAUUAACCUAAUACGUUGGUGUCUUGACGUUACCGACAGAAUAAGCACCGGCUAACUCUGUGCCAGCAGCCGCGGUAAUACAGAGGGUGCAAGCGUUAAUCGGAAUUACUGGGCGUAAAGCGCGCGUAGGUGGUUUGUUAAGUUGGAUGUGAAAUCCCCGGGCUCAACCUGGGAACUGCAUUCAAAACUGACAAGCUAGAGUAUGGUAGAGGGUGGUGGAAU
rnacentral:rRNA from 1 species